AUUGAACGCUGGCGGCAGGCCUAACACAUGCAAGUCGAGCGGUAACACAGGGAGCUUGCUCCCGGGUGACGAGCGGCGGACGGGUGAGUAAUGUCUGGGAAACUGCCUGAUGGAGGGGGAUAACUACUGGAAACGGUAGCUAAUACCGCAUAAUGUCGCAAGACCAAAGAGGGGGACCUUCGGGCCUCUUGCCAUCAGAUGUGCCCAGAUGGGAUUAGCUAGUGGGUGGGGUAACGGCUCACCUAGGCGACGAUCCCUAGCUGGUCUGAGAGGAUGACCAGCCACACUGGAACUGAGACACGGUCCAGACUCCUACGGGAGGCAGCAGUGGGGAAUAUUGUACAAUGGGCGCAAGCCUGAUGCGGCCAUGCCGCGUGUAUGAAGAAGGCCUUCGGGUUGUAAAGUACUUUCAGCGGGGAGGAAGGUGUUGAGGUUAAUAACCUCAGCAAUUGACGUUACCCGCAGAAGAAGCACCGGCUAACUCCGUGCCAGCAGCCGCCGUAA
rnacentral:rRNA from 1 species